AGGACGAACGCUUGCGACGUGCCUAAGAAAUGCAAGUCGAACGGGGUAGCAAUACCUAGUGGCGAACGGUCGCGUAACACGUGGGCAACCUGCCCUGAAGCGGGGGACAACAACUCGAAAGAGUUGCUAAUACCGCAUGUGAAUCGCUGUGGCAUCACAGAGGAUUCAAAGCCGCAAGGCACUUCAGGAUGGGCCCGCGGCCUAUCAGCUAGUUGGUGAGGUAACGGCCCACCAAGGCUUCGACGGGUAGCUGGUCUGAGAGGACGAUCAGCCGGAUUGGGACUGAGAUACGGCCCAGACUCCUACGGGGGCAGCAAUUAGGAAUCUUGCGCAAUGGGCGAAAGCCUGACGCAGCGACGUCGCGUGAAGGAUGAAAUCUUUCGGGAUGUAAACUUCUUUUUCGGGGAAGAAAUUAAUGACGGUACCCGAAGAAUAAGCCCCGGCUAACUACGUGCCAGCAGCCGC
rnacentral:rRNA from 1 species